rnacentral:rRNA from 1 species
UACGAAGGGGGCUAGCGUUGCUCGGAAUCAUUGGGCGUAAAGCGCGUGUAGGCGGCCCGAUAAGUCCGCUGUGAAAGUCCAGGGCUCAACCCUGGGAUGCCGGUGGAUACUGUCGGGCUCGAGUCCGGAAGAGGCGAGUGGAAUUCCUGGUGUAGCGGUGAAAUGCGCAGAUAUCAGGAAGAACACCGUGGCGAAGGCGGCUCUCUGGGACGGUACUGACGCUGAGACGCGAAAGCGUGGGAGCGAACAGG